GCCGAGCACUCCUACGGGAGGCAGCAGUGGGAAUAUUGCACAAUGGGCGCAAGCCUGAUGCAGCCAUGCCGCGUGUAUGAAGAAGGCCUUCGGGUUGUAAAGUACUUUCAGCAGUGAGGAAGGUGGGUAUGUUAAUAGCAUACUCAUUUGACGUUAGCUGCAGAAGAAGCACCGGCUAACUCCGUGCCAGCAGCCGCGGUAAUACGGAGGGUGCGAGCGUUAAUCGGAAUUACUGGGCGUAAAGCGCAUGCAGGUGGUUGUUAAGUCAGAUGUGAAAGCCCGGGGCUCAACCUCGGAAUUGCAUUUGAAACUGGCAAACUAGAGUACUGUAGAGGGGGUAGAAUUUCAGGUGUAGCGGUGAAAAUGCGUAGAGAUCUGAAGGAAUACCGGUGGCGAAGGCGGCCCCCUGGACAGAUACUGACACUCAGAUGCGAAAGCGUGGGGAGCAAACAGGAUUAGAUACCCCGGUAG
rnacentral:rRNA from 1 species